GAUGAACGCUGGCGGCGUGCCUAAUACAUGCAAGUCGAGCGAACGGACGAGAAGCUUGCUUCUCUGAUGUUAGCGGCGGACGGGUGAGUAACACGUGGAUAACCUACCUAUAAGACUGGGAUAACUUCGGGAAACCGGAGCUAAUACCGGAUAAUAUUUUGAACCGCAUGGUUCAAAAGUAAAAGACGGUCUUGCUGUCACUUAUAGAUGGAUCCGCGCUGCAUUAGCUAGUUGGUAAGGUAACGGCUUACCAAGGCAACGAUGCAUAGCCGACCUGAGAGGGUGAUCGGCCACACUGGAACGGAGACAAGGUCCAGACUCCUACGGGAGGCAGCAGUAGGGAAUCUUCCGCAAUGGGCGAAAGCCUGACGGAGCAACGCCGCGUGAGUGAUGAAGGUCUUCGGAUCGUAAAACUCUGUUAUUAGGGAAGAACAUAUGUGUAAGUAACUGUGCACAUCUUGACGGUACCUAAUCAGAAAGCCACGGCUAACUACGUG
rnacentral:rRNA from 1 species